UACGGAGGGUGCAAGCGUUAUCCGGAUUCACUGGGUUUAAAGGGUGCGUAGGUGGUUUGAUAAGGGUGUGGUGAAAGUCCGGGGCUCAACUCCGGAUCUGCCGUGCCGACUGUCAAACUCGAGGACUGUAGAGGCAGACGGAAUUCCGGGUGUAGCGGUGGAAUGCGUAGAGAUCCGGAGGAAGACCGGUGGCGAAGGCGGUCUGCUGGGCAGUUUCUGACACUGAGGCGCGACAGCGUGGGGAGCAAACAGG
rnacentral:rRNA from 1 species